rnacentral:rRNA from 1 species
UGGGGAAUUUUGGACAAUGGGCGAAAGCCUGAUCCAGCAAUGCCGCGUGUGUGAAGAAGGCCUUCGGGUUGUAAAGCACUUUUGUCCGGAAAGAAAUCCUUGGCUCUAAUACAGUCGGGGGAUGACGGUACCGGAAGAAUAAGCACUGGCUAACUACGUGCCAGCAGCCGCGGUAAUACGUAGGGUGCAAGCGUUAAUCGGAAUUACUGGGCGUAAAGCGUGCGCAGGCGGUUUGCUAAGACCGAUGUGAAAUCCCCGGGCUCAACCUGGGAACUGCAUUGGUGACUGGCAGGCUAGAGUAUGGCAGAGGGGGGUAGAAUUCCACGUGUAGCAGUGAAAUGCGUAGAGAUGUGGAGGAAUCNAUGGCGAAGGCAGCCCCCUGGGCAAUACUGACGCUCAUGCACGAAAGCGUGGGGAGCAAACAGGAUUAGAUACCCUGGUAGUCCACGCCCUAAACGAUGUCAACUAGUUGUUGGGGAUUCAUUUCCUUAGUAACGUAGCUAACGCGUGAAGUUGACCGCCUGGGGAGUACGGUCGCAAGAUUAAAAGCUUAAAGU